CCUACGGGAGGCAGCAGUGAGGAAUAUUGGUCAAUGGGCGCGAGUCUGAACCAGCCAAGUAGCGUGAAGGAUGACUGCCCUACGGGUUGUAAACUUCUUUUAUAAAGGAAUAAAGUGAGGCACGUGUGCCUUUUUGUAUGUACUUUAUGAAUAAGGAUCGGCUAACUCCGUGCCAGCAGCCGCGGUAAUACGGAGGAUCCGAGCGUUAUCCGGAUUUAUUGGGUUUAAAGGGAGCGUAGAUGGGUUGUUAAGUCAGUUGUGAAAGUUUGCGGCUCAACCGUAAAAUUGCAAUUGAUACUGGCAGUCUUGAGUACAGUUGAGGUAGGCGGAAUUCGUGGUGUAGCGGUGAAAUGCUUAGAUAUCACACAGAACACCGAUUGCGAAGGCAGCUUUCCAAGCUAUUACUGACGCUGAGGCACGAAAGCGUGGGGAGCGAACAGGAUUAGAUACCCGUGUAGUC
rnacentral:rRNA from 1 species